rnacentral:rRNA from 1 species
UACGUAGGGACCAAGCGUUGUUCGGAUUUACUGGGCGUAAAGGGCGCGUAGGCGGCGUGGUAAGUCACUUGUGAAAUCUCUGAGCUUAACUCAGAACGGCCAAGUGAUACUGCUGUGCUAGAGUGCAGAAGGGGCAAUCGGAAUUCUUGGUGUAGCGGUGAAAUGCGUAGAUAUCUGGAGGAACACCGGUGGCGAAGGCGGCAUCCUGGACCGGCAUUGACGCUGAGGCGGCGAAAGCC